GAUUAUUGGCAUUGUGUUUCUGUCAAAGCCUCAACAAUUAGUAAGCAUCAUUAAUAAUUAAUUUUCAAUCUAACAGCUGCUGCAGGAGAAGGCAUCUUCAGGUCACCACCAGUUGGCAUUCUCAUCUGCAAUUUACAGAGGAAUGACAGAAGGAAUUUUUGUUGCUUUCUUCCAUAUGACAGAAUGUUUUCUGUGACAAUUUCUUUUUUGUCCUUCUGCUCUUAUUUUCCCUUAUCAUGCUUUGACAUUUGUAAAUUGAUAUCUAUAAAUUAAGGCCUUUAUCUUCUCAGUAGUUGAAGCUGAGAAAUUAUCAAACUUUCCCUCUAAAUUUUAACUUGGUAUCAGAGCUUGUGAUGGCAAGAAAUGGAGAAAGCUCGGUGGUUUCAGGAAGAACCAGUGGAGGAAAUACAACUGUGAGGACUCUAAGCCUCUCCGGAAACUCCAUGGGCACUUACAACAUGGUUAGGUUGAACCAUGACAACUUCUUGCUGUUAAAAAAACAUUGUCCUGCCAGUAAUCAGAGGGAACAAGCUCGAAGGAUAUAUAACAGGUGCAAAAACCUUCCCACUAGAAUGCACUCAAGAAGCAGAAAAAUGAGAAGAAAUCAGAGUUACAGUAAAUCUAGAUGUUGAAGAAUGGUAUGUACAGGACCAAAUGCUACUCGGCUGGAUUUAUAAUACGAUUGAACCAAUUGUAGCUGCUGAACUGAUAGGCUAUGAAACAUCAAGACGGCUGUGGAAUGCAAUAAUUGAGCUUUUUGGAAUUAAAACGAGGUCGAACGUUGUCUUCUACAAAUGAGAGUUCACGAAAUGCAGAAAGGAAACACAACAAUGGUGGAUUACCUCAAAGUUGUGAAGAACAUUACAGACAACCUGGCUUUAGCUGGACAUCCAGUCUCCCUUGAUGAUGUGGUCACACAAGCACUCAUUGGUCUUGAUUCACCAGAAUAUUACUCGCUUGUGUGUCAAAUCAUGGAAAAAGAAAGUCUCAGCUGGACAGACCUUCAGUCGAAGUUGCUUAGCUAUGAAAGGCACCUGGAGCAGUUAAAUGCAAAUUUAGCAACACUCAACUUUGGACAACCAGCAGCCAACUGCACAAGAAGCUCAAACCAUAACAGUAAAAACCAGACUUAGCCGUAUGGAGGAAGCAGACCAGGAAACAACAGCAGAGGAAGAAGUUUCAGAUGAAGAGGAAAUAGAUAUGGAGGAGGCAGAACACAAAACUUAUACUGCCAGAUAUGUGGCAAAAAUGGUCACACAGCUACUAUAUGUUUUUACAGAUUUGAUAGAAACUACAUGGGCGGUAUACCAACUAGCAAACACCAGCAGCAGCAUCCACACUCAGUCUAUCUUGCUUCAGCUGAUAACAUUGCAGACUCUGCCUGGUAUGUUGAUAGUGGAGCAAGCAGCCAUGUCACAAAUGACCCUGAAAACCUUAAACAGAAACAGGCAUAUGCUGGUAAGGAGUUUUUAAUAGUUGGAAAUGGUGAUAGACUUAAUAUUCAGCAUGUUGGAACAGCAGAAUUGUCGCUUGAAACUGGAAAUUGUUUGCUGUUAAAUGAAACAUUGCAUGUGUCGGAUAUAGAGAAGAAUUUGAUUAGUAUCUCUAAUCUCAUUGCAUGAAAUAAUAUAGAUGUAAUGUUUGACUCUUAUAGCUGUGUUAUUAAUGAAAAAGUAUCGGGGAAAGCUCUGAUGCGGGGAAACAUAAGGAAGGCCUGUAUCGGAUUGAACAAACCCACUUACCCAAGGCAAACACUUAUCAAAACCCUUUUCAAGCACUUGAAAGUAGCUCAUCUACCAGAAAUAAAAAUGUUGAAACCUUGAAACUGUGGCAUAGAUGAUUAGGCCACCCCUCUCACAAAAUUCUGAUGAAAGCUAUAAGCUCUUGUAAUCAGACUAUUACUAGUACUGAGAAUUCUCCCUUUUUUGAUGCGUGUCAACUUGGAAAAUCCCACUUAUUACCAUUCACUGCAUCGUCUUCACAUGCAUCAAAACCUCUUGAUUUAAUUCAUGCUGACAUUUGGGGACCUGCCCCAGUACUCUCAUUAUCAAAUUUUAAAUAUUAUGUUCUCUUCCUAGAUGAUUUCAGUCACUUCACUUGGCUAUUCCCACUCAAACAAAAAUCAGACAUUAUACAAACAUUUAUUCAACUCAAAGCCAUGGUCGAAAAUCAGUUUGAAAGGAAAAUAAAAUGCUUUCAAACUAAUAUGGGAGGAGAGUUCUUAAGCCUCACAAAUGACCUACUACAACAAGGCAUUAAAACGCAAUAUUCUUCCCCACAUACAUCUCCUCAAAAUGGUAGAGCCGAGAGGAAACACAGACAUGUUGUAGAAACCGGCUUUGACCUUGUUAGGUCAGUCUAAAGUCCCACUAAAAUUCUGGCUAGAAGCGUUUCAAACAGUUGUGUUCCUUAUAAACCGUUUGCCAACACCAGUUAUAGACAACCAAAAUCCUCUAGAAAAGCUCUACUCCAAGAAACCAAAUUACCACUUCUUAAAAGUGUUUGGUUGCGCUUGUUACCAUGUCUUAGGCCUUAUCAAACCCAGAAAUUCUAAUUUUAUUCAGCAAGAUGUGUCUUCCUUGGAUACAGUAAUUCACACAAAGGUUUUAAGUGUCUUAGUUCAACAGGAAGAAUUUACAUCUUGUGUGAUAUUCAAUGAGGAAGACUUUCUUUUUCAUGGAAACUUUCUAAACACAAAAGCACCUGAAGACCAAACUCUUGUGAUCAGAAAUUGGCUUGCAACUCCCUCACAAACUCAAAACAUAACCCUACCAAAUGACACCUCCUCAGCUGAUACAGGCAGUCAGUGUGUUCCCACUGCUGCAGAUCAAUCUGAUCUGCCUCAUAACAAUGGGGUCCGAAACAUUAUUCCUCGAAGACCAAACUGUGAGAUUAUCCUUAGAAGAAGGACUUGACUCUCAAGCUCAUAAUCUGGGUGAACCACUUGAUUUUGAUAUAGAGCCUAUCAACUGCAACAGGCAGUUGCAGGAGCUUUCAGUAGAGAUACCUCUGAAUGCUGAGAAUCAAAGCAUGGAAGAGGAACCAGCUGCAGGACACAAGAUGAUCAUAAGAGCCAAGGCAGGUAUUUUCAAACCUAAGCAGUAUCCUUUAGGCUUCCAACUGCUUACUGUCAAAUGCUCAUUGCCAACUGAACCGAGCACAAUUGAAGAAGCAGUAAAGUCCAAGCACUAGAAAGCAACUAUGGAAGAAGAAAUUGAAGCACUAAAAAGAAAUAACACCUGGUCAUUGGUUGCCUAUCAGUCCUCAGUGAAUGUAGUAGGAAAUAAAUGGGUGUUCAAGGUAAAGAAGAACAUGGAUGACAGCUUCCAAAGGUGUAAGGCUAGACUGGUUGCAAAGGGGUUUCAUCAAAAUACAGGCAGUGAUUAUGGAGAAACGUUCAGUCCAGUUCUUAAGGCAUCAACCAUCAGGGUCAUUCUCACCAUAGCAGUAACAGAAAACUAGAGUAUAAGUAACUAGACAUAAAUAAUGCCUUUUUGAAUGGGAACUUGCAGGAAUCAAUUUACAUGGUGCAACCACCUGGUUUUGAACUAAGGGACAUGAGCAACUGCGUAUGCAAGUUGAACAAGGCAUUGUAUGGCUUGAAGCAAGCACCAAGAGCCUGGUUCGAAAAAUUUAGGGACACCUUGUUAAAAUGGGGUUUUGUGAAUUCUAAGUGUGAUACAUCCCUAUUUAUUAUGAACACCAAUGAGCAGAUCCUAUUUGUGCUAAUAUAUGUGGAUGACUUGAUAGUCACGGGCAACAAUUCAAUGUCACUUAAGAAAUUUGUUCAAGAACUAGACAAACUGUUUGCAUUAAAGGAUAUGGGAGAACUGCAUCUCUUCCUCGGAAUUGAAGUUACAAGAGAUGAAACAAGAAUUUACCUAACUCAAACCAAGUAUAUAGAAGAGCUACUUAGAAAAGCAAACGUGGAAAAUUCAAAAGGCUACCUACACCUGGAACUCUUAAUGCUCUCACUGCCAAUGAAGGGGAACCACUCAAAAAUCCAAUAGAGUGCAGGAAAAUCAUAGGAGGUCUGCAGUAUGCAACACACACUAAACUUGACAUUGCCUACAUUACAAACAAAUUAAGUCAAUUUUUGCAACAGCCAACAACAAAGCACAUGCAAGCUGUGAAGAGAGUUCUAAGGUAUCUGAAAGGAACCAAGGAUUUUGUUCUACAUGUUCAACCUUGCAACAGUUACACUCUGACAGGCUACUCAGAUGCUGAUUGGGCAUGCAACAGGGAUGAUAGAAGAUCAACAGCUGGUCAUUGUGUUUAUUUUGGCUCAACACUAGUCUCAUGGAGCUCAAAAAAGCAACAUGUUAUUGCUAGAUCAAGUGCAGAAUCAGAGUAUAGGUCACUAGCUCAAGUUGUCUGUGAAAUAACCUGGUUAGAAUCCUUACUCAAGGAACUGCUCAUCUCGGUGACAGAAGUACCUGUCACAUGGUGUGAUAAUCUCAGUGCUGGUCAGCUUGCCAGCAACCCUGUGUUCCAUGCUAGGACAAAACACAUUGAUGUAGAUAUUCACUUUGUUAGAGACAAAGUGCUUGAGAAGAAGGUUGAGGUAAGUUAUGUACCAUCUCAAGAUGAAAUUGUUGAUUACCUAACAAAAGCUUUAACGGGUUUUCAAUUCUACAAUUCAAGGACCAAACUUGGAGUGAUCGAAAGGCCUCUCUCACUACCAAGUUUGAAGGGGAAUGUUAAAGCCUCAACAAUUAGCAAGCAUCAUUAAUAAUUAAUCUUCAAUCUAACAGCUGCUGCAGGAGAGGCAUCUCCAGGUCAC
rnacentral:lncRNA from 1 species